rnacentral:sRNA from 1 species
GGAGGCACACAAACCUGUAGUUCCAGCUACGUGGGAGGCUGAGGCAGGAGGAUCCCUUGAGCCUGGAGUUCAAAGUUGCAGUGAGCUCUGAUUGUGCCACUGCAUGCCAGCCUGGGUUAGGGAGCAAGACCGUACCAAAAAAAAAAAAAAAAAAAAAAAGAAUGCUGAUGUUGCAGACGUUAUCUAAGAUAAAAUAGAUUUUAAGGCAAAAAGCAUUAUUGGGGGUAUGAAGCGUUGUUACACAAUGAUUUUUUAAAACCCCUAUUUAACCUUGACGCAUCAAACAACAUAGCCAUAAGCAUAUAAUCCAAACAUCAGCAGAAUUAUAAGGAAAAACUGACCAAUCUCUAGUCAUAUUGUGAGAUUUUAACCCAUUUCCUUCUGAAAUGGGUAGACAAAAAUGGCAGACAAAAGUUAAGGAUAUAUUAAUAGAAGAUUUUAAUAGGAAACUAGGCUCAGAAUGGUGAAAUUUGUUUGUUUUUGCCAAAAGUCAUCUAGCUGGUAAAGGAAAAAGUUGAUUGAAACUCAAAUCUGUUUUAAUACAGAUCAUAUAAACUGUGUUUUUCCUAACAGCACCUGUUAAACUGAUUUGCAUUUCAGCAUUCACAGUGAAUAUUGAGUGAAUCUCACAAUUACUUUAUUUCUGAUAUUUCCUUAUCUGUUUGCAGAGACCUAGGCUUCCACUGUUCCCUUUUACUAUAUUCUGUUUCCCUGAGAGCGCUGUUUCAGUUAUAUAGCAAGCGUACCUCUGGCCUUAGAUGAUCGUGAAUUCCAAGUUCCUAGCAAGAGAGAAAGAUUUCAUGUGCAAUGUGAAUAUACCAGUUGAAGUACAUUUCUCCCGAAGUCCACAGAUCCUGGUCCCUACAAAUAAGCCUGCUCAUGUGAGAUAAGAAAGGAGUUCCUGGAACCAGGAAUUCAUUCUCAGUGUAGAAGACCUAGCUGAGACCUCACUCCACAGUUUUGGGGCAGAAGUAGAAGAGACGCACAGUAGAACCGAUCUCAGCCUUGCUGAUCAUCUCGUACAGCAGCAGAAAAUGACCAUGUUACAGGAGUCAUUCUCAUUUGACGAUUUAUCUGUGGACUUCACCCAAAAGGAGUGGCAGCUACUGGAUCCCUCUCAGAAGAAUUUAUACAAGGAUGUGAUGUUGGAGAACUAUAGCAGCCUAGUGUCACUGGGUAAUAAAAGCUUUCUUGAGGACCUUGGACUAUGCCCAAUGCAUUGCCUUUUAUUUUUAGUUGCUGGGAAGUUUCAGAAGCCUAUAGCUAGGCUUCUGAAAUUUUUAAUGAUUUUAGACCUGAAACUUAGAUCACAGUUGCUUGGACUAUGACACCAAGAAAGUAUUUGGGUCUCACCUUUCAAUAAUGAAGUCGUAAGUUUGUCAUGCAGCCUCUGAAACUUAAGUAGUAAUAGUUUGAGCAGUAGUGGUAGCACCUAAUGCAUAUAACUUACU